rnacentral:rRNA from 1 species
CCUCGGGAGGCAGCAGUGAGGAAUAUUGGUCAAUGGGCGCAGGCCUGAACCAGCCAAGUCGCGUGAGGGAAGACUGCCCUAUGGGUUGUAAACCUCUUUUAUAAGGGAAGAAUAAUGACUACGUGUAGUCAGAUGCCCGUACCUUAUGAAUAAGCAUCGGCUAACUCCGUGCCAGCAGCCGCGGUAAUACGGAGGAUGCGAGCGUUAUCCGGAUUUAUUGGGUUUAAAGGGUGCGUAGGCGGAUCGUUAAGUCAGUGGUCAAAUUGAGGGGCUCAACCCCUUCCCGCCAUUGAAACUGGCGCUCU